rnacentral:rRNA from 1 species
UGGGGAAUCUUCCGCAAUGGGCGAAAGCCUGACGGAGCAACGCCGCGUGAGUGAAGAAGGCCUUCGGGUCGUAAAGCUCUGUCUUUAGGGAAGAAUAGCUAUGGUGUAAAUAAUGCCAUAGUGUGACGGUACCUAAGGAGGAAGCUCCGGCUAACUACGUGCCAGCAGCCGCGGUAAUACGUAGGGAGCGAGCGUUGUCCGGAAUUACUGGGCGUAAAGGGCGCGUAGGCGGGUGUUUAAGUCAGAUGUGAAAACUACGGGCUCAACCUGUAGACUGCAUUUGAAACUGGACAUCUGGAGGGCAGGAGAGGAAAGUGGAAUUCCUAGUGUAGCGGUGAAAUGCGUAGAUAUUAGGAGGAACACCAGUGGCGAAGGCGACUUUCUGGACUGUACCUGACGCUGAGGCACGAAAGCGUGGGGAGCGAACA